ensembl:antisense Gm15522 predicted gene 15522
GCCCUGUCCACUUCCCUGAGGUGCCCUACGCCACAGGAACCGAAGCUCUCCCAUAGUGCUUCCGUUAGUUCCCCAAGUGUUUCUGCAUUUGAAGCUUGGUCCUCUGUGGAACUGUGAGAGGGGACAGGGGCACUAAGAGAUGAGGCCUAGAGAAGGUCUUUCAGUCAGCAUUCUUCGAAGUCUUUCAGCCUAAGGCAGUAAGGAAAGAGAAGUCACCAGCUGCGUUCGUCAAAUCUCUGCAGACACUGAGGUACUGAAGAGGCCUGUGGCAGUCAGCUGCACAGUAUCUGCUUCAACACAAGAAACCAAGGCCCUAAGCGCACAGGCACGGACUCAAUCCAGUGCCAGCGGCUGUUUGUGGGAGGCUGGUACAAAGAAAGGCCUCAUAUACUGUGUAUUUUACUUCAUAUGAUCACCUCACAAAUGAAAAGACACUUAUGUCUGUACCAAUGUGAAAUGUAAACACAGCACAAUUCAGCCCGCCUUCCAAGAUAGAGCAGAAAAGCUUAGAAAAGACAAGCCUGCUGCACUCAGGCCUUGUGAGGGAGCUGAGCCUCUUGGGUGUCAGGCUGGCCAAGCACUCAGUUACAAGUCACCCGUACCUCCAGCUUCUUGAGCCUCUCUUGCUCCUCCUUUGCUAGUUCCUCUUCUGUUUUCAUCCUGUUAGAGGGCUGAGCCUUCAUUUCAAAGCCAAGCUCACGAACCAUCAUGUCAUAUUCAUCGGGCUAAGGGGAAAAUAAGAUGUUUUUCAGAAUUGUUUACAAAAAGUAAAGACCAUUCCAUA